rnacentral:rRNA from 1 species
UACGUAGGGGGCAAGCGUUAUCCGGAAUUACUGGGUGUAAAGGGAGCGUAGACGGUAAUGUAAGUCUGGAGUGAAAGGCGGGGGCCCAACCCCCUGACUGCUCUGGAAACUAUGUUACUAGAGUGCAGGAGAGGUAAGCGGAAUUCCUAGUGUAGCGGUGAAAUGCGUAGAUAUUAGGAGGAACACCAGUGGCGAAGGCGGCUUACUGGACUGUAACUGACGUUGAGGCUCGAAAGCGUGGGGAGCAAACAGG